rnacentral:lncRNA from 1 species
CUGUUAUAAGUCUAUGGUUACAACAUCCUGUGUGUCUGUUGUUGUUUUUAUACAGUCUAAGGGCUGUUGCCACAGCAACUUUGCGGUCCCAGUACUUUCAGCUCACUCACUGCUGGAAUUUGCUUUUUGUAAUUUUACGCUUAGUAGUUAUUUAUCUGCCUGUGAUGCACAAUCAUGUUUGGGCGAGAGUCGCGGCGUUCAACAAACAAGUUUGUGCAGAGAGAGAGCGACAGAAUGCGGGUCCGGAGAGAAGCGUUACGCAGGAUGCUGGAGCAGGAGAGACAGCUGCACAUCAGAGAGCUCAGCCAGACUGGCCUGGCCAUUUAUCAACAAAGAAUAUAAACCAUUAAAACACAUUCCAAUGCUGAGCCUUCACGUUCACUGCUUUAUAAUAUGCAUGUGACGGUACAAAAUAAUUGUUUCUACAAUUAAGUUUUCUUUAAACGCAGG